rnacentral:rRNA from 1 species
AGAGUUGAUCAUGGCUCAGGACGAACGGCUGGCGGCGUGCCUAACACAUGCAAGUCGAACGGACUGAUUCGCUUCGGUGAUGAAAGUUAGUGGCGGACGGGUGAGUAACGCGUGAGUAACCUGCCUUUCAGAGGGGGAUAACGUUUGGAAACGAACGCUAAUACCGCAUAACAUAUCGUUGUCGCAUGGCAGUGAUAUCAAAGGAGCAAUCCGCUGAAAGAUGGACUCGCGUCUGAUUAGAUAGUUGGCGGGUAACGGCCCACCAAGUCGACGAUCAGUAGCCGGACUGAGAGGUUGAACGGCCACAUUGGGACUGAGACACGGCCCAGACUCCUACGGGAGGCAGCAGUGAGGGAUAUUGCACAAUGGGCGCAAGCCUGAUGCAAGCAACGCCGCGUGAAGGAUGACGGUUUUCGGAUUGUAAACUUCUGUUCUUAGUGAUGAUAAUGACAUUAGCUAAGGAGAAAGCCACGGCUAACUACGUGCCAGCCGCCGC